UUUUUUGACAAAAGGCUCGCAUAUUUAUAUAUAAAAGAAAGAAAAUGUUUUACAAGCACAUGCAUAUAUUCAUGGCUAUAAACCCACCUUAGUUAACAAACCAUCAUUAAACCCAUAAUUAAAAAGAUCAGAUUUGGCCCAAAUAGCCCAAGUAACUGAAUCGACUUCCAAGUUCGCUAAUCUCAAUUACGAUGCCGUCGAAAGCCAAAGCUGCAUAUAGCGAGAAGAGAUGAUCGGAGAAUCAAACCUGUAACCGCUGAUGCGAUCGGUGAUCUGACGUGUGAUCAGUUUGAUGACCGCAUCCUGAGAGCGGUAUUGAUUGUUGUGUAACCUUUUGUUCCUCUCCUGCCAUACCCAGUAUAUCGUCGAUUGCCAACAUAACAAUUGGUUGCAGGUGACAUCUUCUGGAAAUCUCCACCCAAAUUCCCCAACUGUACGGACACAGAUAGAAUAAAUGGUCCCUUGAUUCAGCAGCCUGAUUACAGAGAAGACAAGCCCCAUCCGUUUGAAGUCCCCAGCCUAUAAGAUGGUCCCUAGUUGGGCAUCUAUUCAGUACAAACAACCAAGUUAGGAAGUUGUGGCGUGGAAUUCCUCUACCAAUCCAAACAAUUGAAGCCCACGCGAUCCUCUGUCUCAGUCAGACCUAAUGUUGUGAAGAAUAUAUGGAGUUGAAGCAUACUUUCAGAGCGUGGAGGAGGAAGUCUCCAGUUUCCACCAACAAAAAGGUCCGCUACGGUUGUUUUCAAGCUUAUACCCAUACCUGAAGUAUGGUCUGAGAGCAGAAACUGUGAAAGUUUCCCAAAGGGGGACCAAUUAUCUGACCAGAAGCGACAGGAUUCUCCAUUGCCUACUUGCAUCCUUAUCCAGGUAUAGACUUCAUCUCUGAGCUUGAAAAGCUUAUUGACAAGCCAUGAGUUUGAUGUUGAAGGUCUCAUAGUCCAGAAAUUUGAAAGGGAGCCUUUUAGAACUUCUGCCUUGAACCAUCCCACCCAAAUUGAUCCUGCUUGAAAGAACAGCAACCAUAUCAGUUUUAUACAACACGCCUUGUUCCAAGUUAAUAGGUCCUUUACCCCUAGUCCACCACUAGUUUUUUCCUUAGUCACCACUUCCCAAGAUACCUUAGCCGAGUGAUGCGAAUCAAGUCUACCUUUCCAUAGGAAUAGUCCACACAAGGAAUUUAUUCUUUUUAUACAGGCUUUAGGAAGUAGGAAGGUUGAGCACCAGAAGUUAGUAAUACCCGCAAUGACUGUUUUGAUUAAGAGAAGCCUUCCAGCAAACGACAGUGUCUUUACAGUCCAUGAAGUGAAUUUUGAUUUGACUUGCCGUAUCAGAACCUCACAGUU